rnacentral:rRNA from 1 species
AUGCCAACCGCCGCGUCUCUGCGCAGCCGUCCAGCCGCCACCGCGUGGCCACGCCGUUGCGCAUGCCAACCGCCGCGUCUCUGCGCAGCCGUCCAGCCGCCACCGCGUGGCCACGCCGUUGCGCAUGCCAACCGCCGCGUCUCUGCGCAGCCGUCCAGCCGCACGCGGGGCAGACCGCAUCCGUGCCAGCAGCCCUUGCGCAUCAUGACGCCUCUGCUCAUAGCCGAUCGACCGCCGUUAGCAGCAGCCGACCCCAUGUCAUCGAGUCACGCCGUUGCGUGCUGCGGAUGCCUUGCCGCCAUGCACUGCGGGAAAGGCCGCGGCGAUGCGGCCUCAGCCCAAACGACGUUGCGCCUCGCGCCCAGGCAUCAGCCAUUGCGCACUGUGGCUGUCUCCUUGCACCGUCGUGGUCGAUGCCGUCGCACCCCGUCGCCGUGCCGCCGCCGCCACCGAUGUGGUCGCCUCGCAGUCGUUGGUAGCCACCGCCUAUGCGACGCAGAAGAACUGCGCCAGGAGUCCGCGGUCGCGGCCACCGCUCGCCUUGCACCUCGUGAGGUGCUUCCGGUCGCUGUCGGAGUCGAGCGCCGCUCCGCCGCGUGA